rfam:Candidatus Portnoybacteria bacterium RIFCSPHIGHO2_12_FTLL_40_11 rifcsphigho2_12_scaffold_13244, whole genome shotgun sequence.
UUCAUUGAGAGUUUGAUCCUGGCUCAGGAUGAACGCUGGCGGCGUGGAUAAGGCAUGCAAGUCGAACGAUCCUUCGCUCUUUACUGCGUAAAGAGCUACGGAAUCGCAGGCGCUCUAAUUCUAUCAGAGAGCUUGCUAUUCCGAAGCUCAUCACAUAGUGAUGAGCGUAGGAUAGUGGCGAACGGGUUAGUAAUACGUAGGUAAUUAUCUUUAAGUUGGGAAUAACUUCGAGAAAUCGAGGCUAAUACCCGAUAGUCCCGCAAGGGUAAAGUUUUCGAGUAAUCGAUUUCGCUUAAAGAGAUGCCUGCGUCCUAUCAGCUUGUUGGUAGGGUAACGGCCUACCAAGGCUAUGACGGGUAGGGGGCGUGAGAGCGUGACCCCCAACAGAGGUACUGCGACACGGACCUCACACCUACGGGUGGCAGCAGUCGAGAAUCUUCGGCAAUGGGCGAAAGCCUGACCGAGCGACGCCGCGUGAACGAAGAAGCCCUUCGGGGUGUAAAGUUCUUUUAACUGGGAACAAUAGGUUUUUUAUCUAUGAGCGUACCAGUUGAAUAAGGGGCUGCUAAACUCGUGCCAGCAGCAGCGGUAAUACGAGUGCCCCAAGCGUUAUCCGGAAUCACUGGGCGUAAAGCGUGAGUAGGCGGUUUUAAUAGUGGGUGGUUAAAUUCCGGAGCUUAACUUCGGAGCCGCCAUCCAAACGUCAAAACUAGAGCAGGCGAAAGGCUGAUGGAACCUACCAAGUAGGGGUGAAAUCCGUUGAUAUGGUAGGGAACACCAAAGGCGAAGGCAUUCAGCUGGCGCCUGGCUGACGCUG